UACGUAGGGUGCAAGCGUUGUCCGGAAUUAUUGGGCGUAAAGAGCUCGUAGGCGGUUUGUCGCGUCUGCUGUGAAAACCCGAGGCUCAACCUCGGGCCUGCAGUGGGUACGGGCAGACUAGAGUGCGGUAGGGGAGAUCGGAAUUCCUGGUGUAGCGGUGGAAUGCGCAGAUAUCAGGAGGAACACCAAUGGCGAAGGCAGAUCUCUGGGCCGUAACUGACGCUGAGGAGCGAAAGCAUGGGGAGCGAACAGG
rnacentral:rRNA from 1 species